UCUUACAUGAAGAGAUGAUUAAUGAAUCUUUUGGCUUUGUGUUAUGGCUGUUUCCCUUGCAUUUAUGUUCAACUGGAUGUAAAAACUUAUGUACUUCACUGCUAUUGGAUGUGAUCUUAUCCUUGCACUGAAUAUUCUCUUGAGUACCAAAGGGUGUUUGGACACGGCGAGCCAACCAAAUGAUUCUGUAGCCUGUGAACUGAAUCACUUGUGUCAUCAACAGAGUGUCAAGAAAUCUUCACUGAAGACCCUGAAUGACUGCCAGAUGUUAAUCUUCAGACACCCGUGAAAACCAAACACUGUUUUCUCCAGACCCUGAAGAAAUAAGACUGAACUUCAUGCUCCCUAGCCCACUCUGACUGAACUAGAAAGAAUCAUCAAGUCAAUGAACAAGUUGGAAGUAAUAUGGAAUAACUGGAGGAAUCUCAACGGAGGAGGCUGUGUAGCGGAUCAUGGGAAAGUGGCCCAUAGGAUUUUUGUACUCUGCAAGUAAAUGCACUGUACGUAUACAUGUUUGUGUUGUAUAUGAGACAGCAGUUAGCAUAAGGCUAGUUUACUUACAUUUUUACAUUUAUUAAUUUAGCAGACGUUUUUAUCCAAAGAGACUUACAAAUGAAGAAUACAGCAAAAGUGAUUAAUCCUAAGGCAAAAACAUGAGAAGUGCUGCAAUACAAAGUUACAAGCUGCUUAGAGAAGUACAAGUAGGGAAGAAGGUGAGAGGCAGUGAUGAAAGAAUGGACUGAGAAUGGAUAAAUGUUUACUUGGAUAUAUGCUGAAUGUGUAUUUUUGCCACUUAAACAAGCCUUGUAUUAUUGUUUCUAAACCAUGAUGAUCAGGGGAAAAAUAUGUACUAUACUAGUUUUACUUGAUGUUACACACAUUUCAAUAUCAGUCAUGCUGGAUACAGCCACUUAUUGUUCUGUCAUUGGGCACUGCAUUGUGAAUAGUCUAUCAAAGAACAUCAAGGUGUUGGCAAUAAAUGAGAAAUGGUCUUACCUUUGAAAAUAUUUGAUUUCAUUAAGUCUGCAUUCAGUUAUACCAUGUUGUUUUUUUAUUAAUAAUUUAUUGUACUAUAUUAUUUACUCUUUACUCUUUAUUAAAGUCAUAUGCACAAUGACCAUGACAAGCUCCCACUAGAGAUGGUGGUAGGAGAAAAUGAGCAUAGGCUAUCGAAGAGUAAUUUAUAAAAAAUAAAAAAUGUUUUCCUGAUAGGUUUAAUUCAAACAAAUGGUUUAAAUUAUUUAAAUAUGUUUAAGCUGCUCAGUAUAAAAUGAAGUCAAUUAAUGCCAAAGAAAAUAGCUGCUUUGCCUUAUAUAAAAUUGUAUUGAUUAAAACAUAUUCAUUUUAAGACCUGCUACAAUUAAGUUCAUGCUACUCAUUUAAGAUUAUUUUAAUAAUUAACAUAUAUUCUGAAGUCAUAAUAUGUACUUUAUUUAAAGAUUGCUCAGUUCAAUCAAUUGAUUGAAUUAUUUAGCAACAUAAAGAUUACUUAAUUACAACAAUGUGAGUUGUAAAAUUGUUUUUCAUGCAUAUUUAUAUAGGCAUCAUUUCUGUUUCUAACAUUUUUCAUGCACAUAUAUUAUGUUUGUAAAAUUUUGUAAAUGUUUAAAACUAUACUUAUUAAACAAUUGCUGUUUGUGUAAUGUUGUAAAUAAAUGUUCAAUCAAGUGGAAUCUUGUACAAUUAUUAUAAUGAG